rnacentral:lncRNA from 13 species
GCUUGGUCUCCCACAGGCCCCUCUCCCUGUGCUCCACAAUCCCGCCCCUUAUCGUGACACAUUCUUUGUGCUACUUCCACUCAAGUCACUUCUUGAAAAGGCCACAGACUGACUUCCCACAGCCAGUCACAAGUCAAGUCAAACUCGCCAGUGUGCAUGCACAAGGGUCAAGCCCUUCCACGGGUCAUAGUGAUGUUCCUGUUGCCCAGGUGAUGGGUUCUUGAGAUGUCACAAAGGAGGAGCAUCAGAAACGGGGCUGAGGACCCUCCUCAUCAGGACAUCCACAGGAUAGUCUCCAGAGACCAGGAUUCUCCGAAGCUGGGCCAGUAGGAAGAAACCUUAGGCAGAGAGUUUGCUGGGGAAGCAGCACGAAAUCCCAGUCUCAAGCCUGAGAGUACAAAGUAUAGGUGGGAUCCGACAUGAGAUCAGAGGUGGAGUCCAGAGACCCCAUCAGGCACCCCGAAUUUCCUCUUCCAAUGGAAGCCUAAGCAGAAGACCACUUACAUGUGGAGGCAAUGAGGGUAUGAGUCCUAUGGGUUUGGCCCUGGCUUGGUCUCUCACACGCUCCUUUCCCAUGCUUCCAAAAACCUGCCACUUUUGCCAUCAUUUUCUCUGUCACUACCUCUGCUGCAGCUAUUUCUUUCUUUCUUUUUAUUUAUUUAUUUAUUUUAUUAUUGCAUUUUAGGUUUUGGGGUACAUGUGAAGAACAUGCAAGAUUGCUGCACAGGUCCAUACAUGGCAGUGUGAUUUUCUGCCUUCCUUCUUUAAGAAGCCUGACAGCCCAGAGCCAGGCGCGAGUCAAGACACCUCACCAGUGCACAUACACGCGUCACAAUUGGCUAUUCAGGUCAUAGUGACAUUCAUCAUCGCUCAGUGAUAGUUUGCUAAGACAUUACAAAGGAGGAGCCCUCUGUGGCAGCCUGUAAAAAAUGGGGAUCAGGCCCCUCCUCACCAGGACAUCCACAGUAUAUUCUUCAGAGGCCAGGAUUUCCUGAAGGUGGGACAAAAAGAGGAGACAUCAUGCAGAGGGAAUUCUUGGGAAGCAACGCAGAAUCCCAGUCUCAGGCCAGUGAUGACAGGAUACAGGUGAGUCUCCCCAAA